rnacentral:rRNA from 1 species
ACGGAAGGCAGCAGUCGGGAAUAUUGCGCAAUGGAGGAAACUCUGACGCAGUGACGCCGCGUAUAGGAAGAAGGUUUUCGGAUUGUAAACUAUUGUCGUUAGGGAAGAUACAAGACAGUACCUAAGGAGGAAGCUCCGGCUAACUACGUGCCAGCAGCCGCGGUAAUACGUAGGGAGCAAGCGUUAUCCGGAUUUAUUGGGUGUAAAGGGUGCGUAGACGGGAAGUUAAGUUAGUUGUGAAAUCCCUCGGCUCAACUGAGGAACUGCAACUAAAACUGGCUUUCUUGAGUGCAGGAGAGGUAAGUGGAAUUCCUAGUGUAGCGGUGAAAUGCGUAGAUAUUAGGAGGAACACCAGUGGCGAAGGCGACUUACUGGACUGUAACUGACGUUGAGGCACGAAAGCCGGGGGAGCGAACAGGAUUAGAUACCCUGGUA